CUUCGCGAUCCCAUGAGCUGCAGCCUACCUGGCUUCUCCAUCCAUGGGAUUUUCUAGGCAAGAGUACUGGAGUGGGAGGUCAUUGCCUUCUCGGAUAAUUAGGCUCUUGAUCUUAAUUUUUCAAGGUCCUGUUGUCAUUUUGUCUCUUUGGUGAUUGAGGCAAAGAAUUUGCUCUUCCAGCACAGAAAUUCUGAAAGUACAGGAAUCUUCCUGCCAUCCUGGACUGGGUGAAGACUCAGAAGCCUGGAGCCAUGGGGGUCAACAUCAUCACGUCUGACUUUGUAGACCUGGUGGACUUUGCCACGACAGUCAUUGAAUUGAAUGACCUCCUACAGGAGGAUAGAGCUUUGGCUAAAUGUUGAUUUAAUUUUUUAUUUCACUUACUAUUGAAGUUGUUGAUCCAGGCUAGAGUUCUGAAGGGUUUCCUAUUGGCCCCUGGGCAGUGAUGGUGAAGUGAGUAAGAGGACGGGAUAUUUUUUUCCCCUCCUCACAAGGUUAUUUGGAUAAAAUUAUAGGGCUAUUAAUUGCAUUUUUCCCAAAUGAGACUUUUUAAAAACUGAAGUUCAAGGGAAGAAAGCAUGUUCCUUAUGGUCAAGGUCAGCGUCUCCCUAAUGGCAUAUGAUGUUGAAUAUAAUAUGCAAAUGGGGUCUCCAGUUUCCUUUGGGAUGCUGAGUGUCCCCUAAUUGGCCCAGUUCCCUGUUGUCUUCCAGGAUGCUGUAUUUGAGCCAGAGAGAAGGCUGAAGCAGAAAGGCAUUCCUGAUCCAAAGGAUGGCUCAAGGCAGAUGUGGACUGCCUUGUGGGGUGGCUCAUUCACCACCCUGGGGCUCUGAAGGGAGAAAGGUCAAGCACCGGUUUUCUCUAGGCGUGUUGAAUGUCACCAUUUCCUCCCCAAGAGUAAGAUGUAUCUAUCACCAAGGUAUUUCAGCCACAAGCUGUUCUUGGCAUGCUUGUGCUUGGUAAUUGGUCUCCUUCAUUCUUCAGAUAAACAGUGCAUACUGUCCCUGGUAUCAGAAAGAUGUUUCCCACUUUUAAAACACUGAUUCCUCUCCGUUUCUUUGGCCCAUUCUUAAAACUGAAAGGGACAACACUGGUGCAUCUCUUCAAUCUGAGGCCCAACAAGAGACAGACGUGCGUGUCUGCUGCAUGCUGUAUUUCUUUGAGCUAAUUCUGUAGGUCUCCCCAGACUGGCUGUUGGGCAAGUGCCUGCAUUAUUUUGGCAAAGUUCUCUUUGGAGUGGGAUCUUCCAGCCAGAUUUUGGAAUUGUGUUUCACUGCUGUCUGUCUAGAACUCGAGUCUGCUCUGUGGGACUCAUCACUAACGGAAGACACCUUGUCCAUGACACCACGGAGGCAGACACAGGAUGCGUGGGAAAGUGCAAUGGAUUUAAGGAGGCUCCAAGUGAAUGUGGAGCCAUUCUGUAAAUCCUUGAACACAAGACUACCUCGGGAACAUUUAGGAUGAUGAUAUGUCAUCCAGCGAGUCAUACCCAGUGUCGGAACACUUCCAGUUUGUGUCUUGAUUGUUCUACUCUCUGCAGGUUAUUCUGAGCCUACUAAUCACUGCAGGAGGGCUUUGAAACUCAAGAGGGGAUUUUAUUAUUAUUAUCAUUAUUUUUUAUUGAUAAGAGGUGCUUAAAUACAAAGAGCCCUCUUGUGUUUUAUUUAUUUAUUUAUUCAUUUAUGUAUUUAUAGAUUAACUAUCUUCAGUGCUUCUUUCUUCAAGAGCAGUCACCAAGGAGCUUCCUGAACUCUUCUCAGCAGGCCAGAUGGCCCUCAAGAGGACUGCGCAUCUCAGGACCGUGAGUGACUUCUGACUCUACUGUAGAAGCUGUAGACAUUCUGGUCCCCCAAGUCAUGCUGGGGACGGUGUUCAUGUGUAGGUGUGGUCCAGACCUGAGAUGCCUCUACCAAGCCACACACUGGAGCAGAAGACGAAAUGGGUCCUAAGGAUCCCUCAGUUCCGGAGGAAAACCCUCUAGAAGAGGGAUGCAAAGGAAGGAAGUAGAAUACUGGGCACAGAAGUGUGAGCACUUGAGUGUUUCUCUCAAGUCUCUGAGAAUCCCUAAGGAAGUGCCAGCAUCUGGAUCCUUAAAGCAGAAAGAUAACCUGGAAUCCUGGACAGCUGUGUGCAUUUAUACAGAUGGUUGGACACCUCCCAGCAGCUUCCUCGUGUUCUCUGAUGCUCAUCGCUGGAUUUUGCAUGCUGCCUGCAGUGGGGGUG
ensembl:lncRNA